GGAUAUACGUCUUUUCAGUUCAUUUCAGUCGGUAACACAGCGACUUCAGGCACCGACAUGGUGGGCGCAUUUCUCCAAGACAUCGUACACUUUCCUGCCGGUUACGAGGAGCUAUCUUUGCAAAGUUUAGGUUGGUACAGCGGAUCGUGUUUCUUUGGUCUUUGCAGUCUCUGAGCGUUAAAACAGCAAAUAUGAAGCCUCCUGUUAUGUUAUAAAAUUGUAGAUUAUACUAGCUUUAGUGUAUCUAUAAUCUUAAUUUUAUUAAUGACGGGGCGAAUAUUUCCCUCCCAGUUUCUCCCUCCCCUUGUUUGUUUGUUGGUUUGGCUGACCUAUUGUUUAUUCACCUGGUCUCCUGGGCUAGGUUUGUUAGGCUGGGGAAGUUGGGGUUAUCUGGGAUAUGGUAUCGUCAGUAUUUUAUGAUGGGGAUUCAUGUUUUUCUCAGUACCUGGGAUAUUGUACUGUCGGUAUUUGAUGAUGGGGAUUCAUGUUUUUCUCAGUACAUUUCUUUUGCUAAUCAGUAUUUUUGACUCUGUUUAUCUCGUUUCAGUUUAAGGGUCGGCUACAGUUCUUAGAUCUACAGGAUAAAGGUCAAGGCUUCAUACACUGGUUCCAUGUUUUCAAUUUCAGAUGGCAUUCAUUGUUGUUAGGUUUGUUUCUCCUGUUAUUGUAUUGGUGGUGUAUUGUUCAUGUACCUUAUUUUGUUGCAGCGUGAAAGUGGAAAUGGUUGGGAGCCUUUUAUGGAUUCCUGACUUUUUUGUCUUUGGUGUUUUUCUCUCUCUGUUAAUGUGCUGCUGUGGAGUUCUAGUAAAGAGAGACUUAAGCAAAUACUCG